GAUGAACGCUGGCGGCGUGCUUAACACAUGCAAGUCGAACGAUGAAGCCCAGCUUGCUGGGUGGAAUAGUGGCGAACGGGUGAGUAACACGUGAGUAACCUGCCCUUAACUCUGGGAUAAGCCUGGGAAACUGGGUCUAAUACCGGAUAGGAGCGUCCACCGCAUGGUGGGGGUUGGAAAGAUUUAUCGGUUUUGGAUGGACUCGCGGCCUAUCAGCUUGUUGGUGAGGUAAUGGCUCACCAAGGCGACGACGGGUAGCCGGCCUGAGAGGGUGACCGGCCACACUGGGACUGAGACACGGCCCAGACUCCUACGGGAGGCAGCAGUGGGGAAUAUUGCACAAUGGGCGCAAGCCUGAUGCAGCGACGCCGCGUGAGGGAUGACGGCCUUCGGGUUGUAAACCUCUUUCAGUAGGGAAGAAGCGAAAGUGACGGUACCUGCAGAAGAAGCACCGGCUAACUACGUG
rnacentral:rRNA from 1 species